ACGGGAGGCAGCAGUGGGGGAUAUUGCACAAUGGGGGAAACCCUGAUGCAGCGACGCCGCGUGAGUGAAGAAGUAUUUCGGUAUGUAAAGCUCUAUCAGCAGGAAAGAUAAUGACGGUACCUGACUAAGAAGCACCGGCUAAAUACGUGCCAGCAGCCGCGGUAAUACGUAUGGUGCAAGCGUUAUCCGGAUUUACUGGGUGUAAAGGGAGCGCAGACGGCAUGGCAAGCCAGAUGUGAAAUGCGGGGGCUCAACUCCUGAACUGCAUUUGGAACUGUCAAGCUAGAGUAUCGGAGAGGUAAGUGGAAUUCCUAGUGUAGCGGUGAAAUGCGUAGAUAUUAGGAGGAACACCAGUGGCGAAGGCGGCUUACUGGACGAUAACUGACGUUGAGGCUCGAAAGCGUGGGGAGCAAGCAGGAUUGAUACCCUGGUA
rnacentral:rRNA from 1 species